ensembl:snoRNA
GCCGAGACUAGAGUCACAUCUGGACACUGCCUGUUGUCCUGGUGUGCUAGAGUACUCGGACAGUAACCACUAAUCUAUAUUCACUGGCUGUGACCAUUCUUGACUCAGUCAGUCACCAGGUUAGUGACAGGA